GAUAAAAUAAGCUAAUGUAAGCUGUUGGGUUCAUACCCCAAAAAUGAGGCAUCUCUUUUAUUA
rnacentral:tRNA from 1 species